rnacentral:rRNA from 1 species
AGUGAACGCUGGCGGCGUGCCUAACACAUGCAAGUCGUGCGCGAAAGGGAGCAAUCCCAAGUAGAGCGGCGAACGGGUGAGUAACACGUGGUUGACCUGCCCCGAUGUGGGGGAUACCCCGGGGAAACUCGGGCUAAUACCGCAUAACAAGUGUGAUCUGCAUGGAUUACAUUUUAAAGAUUUAUCGGUUAUGGAUGGGCAUGCGUUCCAUUAGGUAGUUGGCGGGGCAACGGCCCACCAAGCCUGCGAUGGAUAGGGGUUCUGAGAGGAAGGUCCCCCACACUGGUACUGAGACACGGACCAGACUCCUACGGGAGGCAGCAGUGAGGAAUAUUGGUCAAUGGGCGAGAGCCUGAACCAGCCAAAUCGCGUGAAGGAUGAAGGUAUUAUGUAUUGUAAACUUCUUUUACAGGGGAAUAAAGUGCAGCACGUGUGCUGUUUUGUAUGUACCCUAGGAAUAAGGAUCGGCUAACUCCGUGCCAGCAGCCGCAGUAAAAC